rnacentral:rRNA from 1 species
UUGACCGUGGUAAUAGACUCCAGGAGUGUUUUAAAACGCUAAAUUAGUCUUCUCCAAGUCAUGUUCUGAGCUAUCGGACCCCCCAUUUAGUCCAAACUAGAGAGGUUGACCUCGGAUCAGGUAGGGAUACCCGCUGAACUUAAGCAUAUCAAUA